CGGACGGGUGAGUAAUGCCUAGGAAUCUGCCUGGUAGUGGGGGACAACGUUUCGAAAGGAGCGCUAAUACCGCAUACGUCCUACGGGAGAAAGCAGGGGACCUUCGGGCCUUGCGCUAUCAGAUGAGCCUAGGUCGGAUUAGCUAGUUGGUGAGGUAAUGGCUCACCAAGGCGACGAUCCGUAACUGGUCUGAGAGGAUGAUCAGUCACACUGGAACUGAGACACGGUCCAGACUCCUACGGGAGGCAGCAGGC
rnacentral:rRNA from 1 species